AUAAUGGUUGUUCACCCUGGUUAUCAGGAGUGUGUUUUCCACAUAUUCCUCUUUUAUCUUUGGCUUGGAAUUUGAAACUUUCUGCCAUUGAAAACCCUUAAUUGCGGAAAUGUUAAGUUUUUCGUUUGGUUUCGGUCUGGUCUGUUGGAGUUACACCCAAACGCUGCACAUGCAGACUGCUUCAUUUCCUGCGUGUUUGUGCGCACGGCUGGCAUUCUUUGUUGUCACUUUGGUUGUUCUUUUUUGUUUUUCCCAUUGUGACGUGGUUUUUAGACGUUACGAUGGUUACAAUGUCACUGACAUGGUCUCCCCUGCUAGCUACCUGAUUAUUCCAGACCACUUCCUCAGACUUCAAAUCUUCCCUGUGUCCUCUUGUGCUCCCAGGCUUUUAGCAGAUUACAGGUAGGGAAGAGUGAGAUAAAUUGAGCCACGGGACAGGACUCCAUGAAAUGAUGACCUCUUCCUAAAUAUUUGGUCAAAUUAUUAAUUUACUCCACUCUCCGCUAAAUGGGUUGUCCCUCCCCUGGAGCCUCUGUCACUGAAAUAUGGAUGUCGUUUGAAGCACUGUAGCUGGCCCCAACCCCGCCGACGCAGAGGUAACAUGUUCGGGGUAUGAGGGAGAUCAAUCAGUCUGCUAGGGUUAUCAACCCAGUUCAUCAUGUCUGCCAAACCUCCGCUCCGACUCAGUUGCCCUAGAUUGCUAUCCUCAGGUCAUUACUUGCCUUUUGCUGUCUUUCCUUGUCUUGAAAAUGCUGAUGCAUAACUGUGCACUGGUGCGUUAGCAAAUGAAUACGCUAAUAGUAUAGUAAUAGUUGUAGGUGUAGUCAUUCAUACAUACAGUAAACACAAAAACCACACACACACAAUGCCGCAGAAGUUAAUAAUGACUUGGAUGAUGUACUGCACAUACAGUAGUGCUGUAAUACCAUCUGAGGGAGCCACUGACUUCAGUCUACAUUAUUUGUUAACGCCACAGAUUUAAGAAGCUAUUUCUGACACCGUACACUCAACUUCACAAGAGUGACUUUCUUUUCCGGCCCAGCAGUCAGUGAGGGGAACUGCCAAAAGCUCAGUCAGUCAAUCAGAUAAAAUGUUCUCUUUUUUCCCUUUAGGUCAUGCACGUAGUGAGCUUUUCAUUCGGCACUACUUUGCAGUUGCCAGGCAGGGUUUUUCAAGCCCGGCCCUGGGGACUAGAUGAUGACUAAUGGGGCCAUGUUAAAGUGACCAGAAGAGGCAGCUGGCGAGGAUGAGAAGUAGUCAGGCCCUACACAUUAUCAACCAAUCUCUGCUGAGCCAGACUAGGCGGGGGUGACUGGAAGGGACAAACCCACAGGAAAUACAUCAUCAUUGACUGACCCUGGUCACGUCCACGACAGCGGCUCGCGCCUUAUAUGGACAUGUUGGAGACGUGAUAUUGAUUGGUGAAUAAUCGGUGGUGUAAAAUAGAUUUUUACAAUGUAUUUUGAUUGUUAUGUUCACUGAAUUUCCAUGCAGACUUCAAUGUAGUUUCAAUGUAGUAAAAAUGAAAACCUAUGACGUCAAAAUGGACUCCAAGUCUCUAUUUCCAUAAGCAUUACUGUUGAUUUCAAUAUGCUAUUGGGGAUUGGGAGCCUCCAGAUUGAAUAAAGAAGCAGGGGUUUUCAUUUGCCACAAUUGAUGUUGCUAGGUAGAGCACACCUGCCCCCACGUUUUAUCUACAAUGUUUAAUAUACAGCCAGCCACUUUUCCAGCUGUGGCUCUGUCCCCCUGUGUGCUGAUUUUGUUUUCCCCUCCUGCUUGCCUUAUUGAACCCCCUGUUGUCAUCGCUGACAGGCAGAUCUAAGUCAUUAGUAAUUGUUUUGUGGUUCCCUCUGCCGAUUAUUAUGCUUGCCUGACAAUCAUUUCUGUGAGUGAUUUCAACACUUGCUCCCACUAGGUAAGCCAUCAAGGCUAAUUGCAACUUGGGGAGCCUGGUUGCUCUCCCUCUCUUAGGACUUACUGGUGGUUUCCUAUGGGUUUGGUGUUGUGGCUUUGUGGGAUGUUUCAUUAAGGGCAUUACCAUGGUAUCUCCCUUUUGUAAUGAUUGUUCUGAUGGACAUAUUUAUUAACUAUAUAUACAAAAGUAUGUGGACACCCCUUGACAUUAGUGGAUUUGGCUAUUUCAGCCACAU